UGGUCUAGUGAUUUUGCGCGGAAAAUAUAACGGGGCUAAAGUAAGUACCGAAGCUGUAGACUUGCGCACAACUUAGAUUAUUUAAGUUUAGAAUAUGAGAAACUAAGUUAUGUUUAGUUAUAUUUUUACUGAUUUUUAUAGAGUAAAGAUAGAAAUAAAACUUAGUAAAAUCAGUAAAAAUAUUCUUAGGCUAAAGUUAAGUAGUUUAAGUUGUGUGCAAGUGGUAGGAGAGCGUUCUAUUUGCGUCGAAGGUAUACCGGUAAGGAGUGCUGGAGCGAAUA
rnacentral:rRNA from 1 species